AUUGAACGCUGGCGGCAGGCCUAACACAUGCAAGUCGAGCGGAUGACGGGAGCUUGCUCCUGGAUUCAGCGGCGGACGGGUGAGUAAUGCCUAGGAAUCUGCCUGGUAGUGGGGGACAACGUUUCGAAAGGAACGCUAAUACCGCAUACGUCCUACGGGAGAAAGCAGGGGACCUUCGGGCCUUGCGCUAUCAGAUGAGCCUAGGUCGGAUUAGCUUGUUGGUGAGGUAAUGGCUCACCAAGGCGACGAUCCGUAACUGGUCUGAGAGGAUGAUCAGUCACACUGGAACUGAGACACGGUCCAGACUCCUACGGGAGGCAGCAGUGGGGAAUAUCGGACAAUGGGCGAAAGCCUGAUCCAGCCAUGCCGCGUGUGUGAAGAAGGUCUUCGGAUUGUAAAGCACUUUAAGUUGGGAGGAAGGGUUGUAGAUUAAUACUCUGCAAUUUUGACGUUACCGACAGAAUAAGCACCGGCUAACUCUGUGCCAGCCGCCGCAGUAA
rnacentral:rRNA from 1 species